AGUGGGAUAACUGAGUCAAAUGGUGAUUCCAUUCUAAGUUUUCUUAGGAAUCUCCAUACUGCUUUCCGGAGUGGAUGUACCAAUUUGCAAUCCCACCAGUAAU
rnacentral:pre_miRNA from 1 species